rnacentral:lncRNA from 1 species
CAUGCAGUUUCCUAGAAAGCCGAAUGCUUACUAGUAAACACCAGUCCUCUGGAGUCCUCUGGACCAGGUCUAGAAGACAGAGGGACUUUAAAUCCAUACUUUGGGAGGCCUGAAAAUCACCUAGCUGGAGUGAAGAGACGGCAACAGGUCACCAAACGGGUGCAGCCAGCAGCAUCACUGCAGGAGGGGGGAGCCUGACCACCAAGCACAUCAGUUUUCACAGCAGUUUCUGACUUGCUGGCAGGAGGAAGGAGCAGCAGCGGUGGCUGGCGGUGCCCCUGAUGGAUGGCUGUGGCGAACUGCGGGACGGGCACGGCAGGGGAACCCCGCACCUCCAGGCAGGCUGCAAUGGAGGAGCUGGGCGAGAAAGGGUUUCAAAGCCUGCGUGAAGGGGAGGUAUCAGCUGGACCAGCCAGGAGCCUGGGGAGGUCAGCAACAAAAGCAGAGCCGAGGCAGCAGUUCCUCCCACUGCACCGGGGCAGCGAGGCAGGCAGAGGGCAGCCACUUCCAGGGAAACACCAGGGCUCUGCCUCGGCGUUUUGAGGUCAAAUACUUGUUUUCUUACUUUAAGGCUGCAGCAUUCCUAGAACAACGAGUUGCCCCAGACUCUGGACUAUUUGGAUUCCUCCAAACAAGUUGUCAAAGCUUCUCUUUGGAUCUUAUGGAGAAAAUUGAUGGUGCAAAUGGUAAAAUACACUAAUUUUAAACCAGCAAUCCCAAAACAUUCAGUGACCUUCAUGCUUGCAUUACUGCUCGUGUAGCACCGUACUUAUCACACUGUGGCCUGAACGUCUUGUUUCCCAUAAUAACUCAACACAGCGAUAUGUGGUCAGAGAGAAAUAUGACCCAGGACUGGCAGCAACUACAACACACAACCCUGGCACAUAGCUCCUUUCCUACCUCAUCCUUGGCAGCAUCACUGGUCACACAUGCUAGGUCGUUAGCCCCAGGGCUGCUGAAGCUGUUCCUUCACUUCUGAGCAGGUCCUCAGCUGAUGCCAGUUCAUAAAGCUCCAUAAAUGAAGCCUACUCACAACUGGAGCCAAUUCCCCUGCAUUGAACUAGGGGGUUAUUGUUAAUUAGGCUGAAUAGAUAUUAUGUGUCUGUUUGUAUGUUGUUAUUAUUAUUAUUAUUUAUUAUUUUAGAUUAUGGGAAAAAAAAAAAAAAGCAAAAGUAAGAAACCCAAGAGUGCACUCAAGCCAUGUAGAGCUUGGAUUGCACAAGGCAAGACUGUGGGAAUCACUGGCAGGGACAAGAACUGAGAGGAAGGGGCCCUGGGUUGCCUCCUCGGUGCUGCAGAGUCAUAGACAAGGCUCUUCUCACCGGCACAUGGACUUUCCGCUUCUCCCCUGGGGUGCGAUGCCUUCUAGUUCCCUUUGGGAGCAGAGCCCCCGGUGAGCUGCGUUUACGCCCCACCAACUACAGCCGGCUCCCGAUGAUGGGGUGUGGGGCGGUUCUAAUGUAAUGUAAAUCAUCAGCUGAAAGAGGGGAUUUAAAAACAAUUUAUUUUGUGGCUGGUACUUCAAAACACUUUACAAGUCAUAUCAAGAGGAUUUUUUAAAAUCUUUCUUUAUGAGUUGCUUUCUUUUCCAGAAUAGUAUCCUUGGAAAUGACCCAUUGGUUAAAAACAAAACAAUAAUAAAGCCCUGUGAAGAACAGCA